UUCUAAUUGGCCUGUGCUGUCGCCACUGCUGGAGCCACAUUCGCCAUCGACGAAUCUGAAAUUCAAUUGUCUCGUGUUAUUUUAAUUGCCUCCUUUUUGAAACCAGUCUUUCGUUCGUUAAAAAGAUUUCGAGGAAGGACUUUUAUAUUUACUUUUCAACUGUAAAUAAUGAAAAAAAGUAUUCAAAUUUGAUUGAUUAAUUGAUUAAUUAAAAAAAGGCAUAUUAUUGACAAAAUAAGUUGUUAAUCGACGAAGAUAAUAUCAGUGAAAUGAAUCGUUCGCAAUAUCCUAUGAUAUUUCAAUAACGAUAUAAUUAUUUAGAUUAAAAGAUGGAUAUAAUAAUAAAUAUAAUGUAAAAUAUAAAUUAUUCGAUGAGAAAAAUGGAACAAACCUGUCGAUAUUUUGUUAAUGAAGCCUUUGCGUUUAAUCGACCGAUUGAGAUAUAAAGUUCACGGUCUUUUGAGACUUUCAAAGUGAACAUCGUAUGCAUGCAAUGAUCAAAAACAAAUCAUUUAACGUAACUUUAUUUUCUUAUGAUAUGGAGAAUUAUUGAAGUCAACGUUAAACGAUAUUAUGGAGUCGGUGAUAAUUAUUUUUGAAAAAUGUAUCUGUUUUACAUUUAUUACAAUCGUCAAUAUUUUUUUUACGAAUAAAAUUAUACAUUUGUAUUUAUGUCGAAGAAGAAUUCGAUAUUUUAAAAACAGACGUAUGUUUUCUUUUCUUUUUUUUUUUUUCAAAAAACAAUUAAUCAUAUAAAAUAUCUGAACAAGUCAAACGAGUCGGAGCUUUUCAAAAAUAUGAAUUACAUAAUUUUCAAGUAAGCCGAAAUAAAAAGAAAAACAUAUUUUACGUUUUAUUCGUUUUAUAAAGAUAUUUAAUUUUUAUCUCAAGCAUUUAUUCGUAUAUCUCUAACGGUGAGAGAGAUAAUUGCGCGAUUUAUUUCUAGAAAAUUAUUUCCUCGAAUGAAUGCAAAUUUUUUGCAUUUUUUUAAAAAGAUUUAUUUAAAAUAUUUGCUUCAUCUUGUUAUUCACGAAUACAAUUGUAAUAUUCAAAUUGAAUUCAUAUAAUAUCUUUUCCCCCUAAUUCCCCUCCCCAAUAAUUGAAUAAAUGAUUCAACGAAUUCGACAAAUUUAUA